CGUCUAGGGGUUAGGACGUAUCCCUUUCACGGAUAAAACACGGGUUCGAUUCCCGUAC
rnacentral:tRNA from 14 species